rnacentral:rRNA from 1 species
UCGUAGGAUGACCCGGCAGCUUAAUUGCGAUAACGAACGAGACCUUAACCUGCUAAAUAGCCCGUAUUGCUUUGGCAGUACGCUGGCUUCUUAGAGGGACUAUCGGCUCAAGCCGAUGGAAGUUUGAGGCAAUAACA